rnacentral:lncRNA from 1 species
CAGACGGCGGAGAGCAGAGAGGGAGCGCGCCUUGGCUCGCUGGCCUUGGCUGCGGCUCCUCGGGAGAGCUGGGGCGCCCACGAGAGGAUCCCUCACCUGGGUCUCUCCUCAGGGAUGACAUCAUCCGUCCACCUCCUUGUCUUCAAGGACCACCUCCUCUCCAUGCCGAGCUGCUGCCAAGGGGCCUGCUGCCCAUCUACACCUCACGAGGGCACUAGGAGCACGGAUUCCUGGAUCCCACCAACAUACAAAGCAGCCACUCACAGACCCCCAGGACCAGGAUGGCAAAGGAUGAAGAGGACCGGAACUGACCUGCCAGCUGUCCCUCUUACCUAAAGACUUAAACCAAUGCCCUAGUGAGGGGGCAUUGGACAUUAAGCCCUGACUUUUGCUAUGCUCAUGCUUUGACUCUAUGAGUACUUUCCUAUAAGUCUUCGCUUGUGUUCACCUGCUAGCAAACUGGAGUGUUUCCCUCCCCAAGGGGGUGUCAGUCUUUGUCGACUGACUCUGUCAUCACCCUUAUGAUGUCCUGAAUGGAAGGAUCCCUUUGGGAAAUUCUCAGGAGGGGGACCUGGGCCAAGGGCUUGACCAGCAUCCUGCUGGCAACUCCAAGGCCCUGGGUGGGCUUCUGGAAUGAGCAUGCUACUGAAUCACCAAAGGCAUGCCCCACCUCUCUGGAGAUCUUCCUAUCCUUUUCUGGGGAAUGGGGUCAAUGGGCGCAACCUCCUAGGGUUGUUGUGAGAAUUAAAUGAGAUAAAAGAGGCCUCAGGCAGGAUCUGGCAUAGAGGAGGUGAUCAGCAAAUGUUUGUUGAAAAGGUUUGACAGGUCAGUCCCUUCCCACCCCUCUUGCUUGUCUUACUCGUCUUAUUUAUUCUCCAACAGCACUCCAGGCAGCCCUUGUCCACGGGCUCUCCUUGCAUCAGGUAGGGGCUUUGCAGAGACCAUCGACGGGCUGACUUGAGUAAGAACACGAAUUAUGCAUGUGGUCAUUUCCAGAGCACUUUCUAUGUGAUACGAACAUGGGAUUUUUAUGUAAUAUGUGUAUGUAAACAAGGCAGCCUCAUUUCCAGGUGAGGAUGCAUUUGGUAGUAUUGAUUUUUGUAAUUUAAAAAAGCUGAAAGGGAGAGAGGACACGUGAGGACUGAACUCUCUGUCCCAUGGGGUAGGACUUAGAUUUACAUUAAAGAGACAGAAACUUGCUGGGAGGUGUAAGUAUUUGGUCACAUUGCUGGCAAGAGAAGAGGUUGGAGUUGGACCCAGGGUGCCACGCUGGCUACCCUCACCCCUUCUUCCCCUCUGGCUCAGAGUUAUACUAAAGAGUCCUUUUAUUUCAAACCAAAUGUUUGACAAUGGGACAGUCUGUUUGAAAUCCCAGCUGCCUGGGGUGGUCUUGGGGGUCUGGGUGGCCCCAGUGCUGGUACCAUGUGCUGGCUUCACCUUUUAAUAACGGUGUGACCUUAAACAAGUCGCUUAACUUCUGUAAGUUUCAGUUUCUUUCAUGGUCUAAAUGGAGAUUAAAACACUCACACACACACACACACACACACACACACACACUCUCUCUCACACACACACCCUCGUGUAUCUACCCCACAGGGCGCUUUUGAAGACCAAAUGCUGUAACUACUAUGAAAGUGCUUUGUAAAUUGCUGUGGAAAGUGCGAGCUACUUAACCACCCGAGGCUGUCCCUCCUUGCUCACAUGUCCAGCCCAAUUCUCCCUUAGUGAGAACAGCACUCAGUAGGUGCUGUGUGUGUUUGUGUUCAAUUGAGAAAUUCCAGAAUAAAUAAAAAUGAAUUAAUUCAACAAACAUUUUCUGGAGCACCGACAAUCUGCCCAGUGCACCAGGCUAGGUAUCUGAUACAAAGAUAAUGAAAACAGUCUCUUGGAACCUAAUUGGGGUCCUCAUUUGACCAGGACUUUCUUUCGUCCCCUUUUAAGCCAACCAGUUUUGUCCGGACAAGACAAAAACAACUUGGGCUGCUUUAGAGAAGCCCAGCUCAGUGUAGACAAUAGCUGCCCAGCCUCUGAAAGGGGCUGAUUGGAUUAUGUGGCAAAUGGAGGUGCAAGGAUGACUUGGACGGUGACAAAUGAAGUGGGCGGAGACCUGCUUUGAGUUAAUCCAGGCUAUUAGGAGGGGACCUUUUGUCUUCCAGAGACUGGCAGGAGCUUUUACCAGUGGUUUUUACAUCCUUAAUGUUCAGGACGAAUAAUUUAUGGUCAGUGAAAAUCCAGGCCCCAGUGAGAUUCGAGUGGGCUGUAAAAUCGAGAGUCCUGCUCCCAGUGAGUAAUAGUAGUGAAUGUUUCUGUCACUUUUUGCAACCGUCCAUUCAUUUGAUCCUCACAACUCCCUGUCCUGAGCCAGGGCCGGCCCCUGUCACUUCUAGGGAAACAGAGGCUGUCAAGAGGCUCUACAGGUUGGGCCCCACUGGAUCAUUGAACCCCUGUUCCCUGAGUUCUAGAGGAAGAAUUGUACCUGUCUCAGUCCCGGCCAUCUCCAGAAAGCCUCCUUCUGCAUUUCUGACUUUGCUCUGCCCGCAGCCUGGAGCCUCCCAGGUCCUUGCUGUCAGCUUUUCUAGCCACUACAGUCUCUGUCUUUCCUUUCACAGCCAAGCUUCUUGAAAGGCCUGUCUACACUUGCUGUCUUCCUUCCUCACCUCCAAUUUCCUCUUCAACCCACUGCUUCCUGACUCGCUCUACUCCGUGGAAGGGCACUCACAAAGGUUCCCAGUGCCCCCGACAAGCCCCUGCUGGUGUCUCCAUCUCCUGCCAAGCAUCCUGCAAUGCCGCCUCCUGUGGGCCUGGCCUCAGGGCUAUGGACAGACCCCUGUCCCAUCCCAGAGACCCCUCGUGAUCGUGCCCUGGCACGUGGGCCGCGGCCCAGCUGGGUCGGCUGAAGAACUGCAGAUGGACGCUGUGGAAGAGGCCCUGAUGGGGCCCACCAUCCCGGACCCGAGUCUUCUUCCUGGAGGGCCUCUCGUCUCCUUCCUCUUUUGGGCGGAAGCCAUCACCUGGAUUCCUACGUGGGAAGGGACCUCGAAUGUGCGACCCCAGCCCCUCUCCAGCUCGAAAUCGGCAGACUAGGAUGGAAGUGCCCUGCGAGCUGGGGGGCCCUUCAAAGGGCCAAGGAGAAAACGCAGGCCGAGGGACCAGCCUUCCAAAUGGGCUUCAAGCUCCAAUGACCUCCGCUCACCCCCUCGAAAUGUCUGGAAAACAUAAUGGGCAGAUUUUCUGUCUUCAAAGUUUCCGGCUAAACCUCUUCAAGUUCUUUAUUGUUUGGGACUGAGACACUCAGCCAUGGUAAUGGGUAGUUUCUUUUGUAUUUGCCUUGAAAGGCCAAAAUAUUUUUAUAUUGCCACAGACAAAGCCACCUAUUUAAAAAUGAACUCCAUGUCCGUCGUUUCCCACCAGGAGACUAUGUACCAUGUGUGUGUCUCUAUGUAUUCUGGGGUCUUGAAACAGGUUUCUCAUGGGGAUGGUCAUUCACCACGGUCCAGAGGGGCAGAACGGGCGGCGCUUGCCUUGCCCAGGGGGCCUGGGGAACGUGGGCCCUCAUCUCAGAUCUGCUCCCAGUAUGUCUAGGACGCGAGCCCCAGAAGGAUCUGGGAGUAAACUUAACAUUCACUGUGUCUCUGCUCUGCAUCCGCCAUUUGUGUGUGUUUCUGGACUGCGGACUGUGUGUACCUUGGUGGGUGACUCAGUGAGAAGAAGCAGGAAUGCCAAAGAUACUGUGAAUGUUCUGGGUUUUGUUGUUGUUGUUGUUGAGAGGUUGUUUCACUGGUGUCUAUUGCAUUAUAUAAUAAAUGACCAGAUGAAUGAAUGAGUGAAGCAAGAAAGAAUGAAUAAACAAAUAAAUAGGUAAAGAAGUAAGCAAGCCAGGAUGAGAGUGUGUGUACACAAGACCAUGGUUCAUCCACUUUGAUGCCUAGACAAUCAAUAUAUAAAUAGAAAAAACCCGGUGAAUCACUAAGUAAUAGGGCAACACACAAAGCGAUAUCAGUUGAUUAUGGAAUAAGGGAUAUGUGUAAUUCAAAUAUAUGCCUCUGACAUUUGACAAUGACAAAGAACCUAAAUGAAAAAAAGAAUGGCUGUGUGAGUAGCGAAGUGCAGAAUGAGACAUAGAUUUUGAGUCAAAAUGAAAAGAUGCAAGUUAAGGAACAAGUGAUCAAAAGGGAGAAGGGAAAGGUUUUUUUAAAAAACCGAAGCAACAAAUAAAAGAAAGGUUAAAAAGAAAAAAAAAAACUAGAGGAUGAGUAACAAGUAACUCUAUAAGGAGGACCAUGUCAGGCUACUGUAAGCCAAGCAUUAGGACUGAUACAAAUAAUAUAUGCUCCUGGCAUAGAAAAAUAAACCACAGAGAACGAGUUCAAAGAAUAGCAAAGAAAGAAAGAGGACCCGGUGGGCGAAAGAUGAGAGUGCACUUUUACCAAAAGUUAUCAAAGCCUGAGCACUUGAAGUCUGCAUAUAAAUAAAUAAAUGACAAAA